CCUACGGGGGGCUGCAGCAAGGAAUAUUGGGCAAUGGCCGGAAGGCUGACCCAGCGACGCCGCGUGGAGGAUGACGGCCUUCGGGUUGUAAACUCCUUUUCUCGCUGACGAGGAUGACGGUAGGCGAGGAAGAAGCCCCGGCUAACUACGUGCCAGCAGCCGCGGUAAUACGUAGGGGGCGAGCGUUGUCCGGAAUGACUGGGCGUAAAGGGCGCGUAGGUGGCUCUUCAAGUCCUGCGUGAAAUCUCCGCGCUUACCGUGGAGGGGUCGUGGGA
rnacentral:rRNA from 1 species